AAGUGGAACCGGAGCCCGGGCGCGGGCGCCCACGUUCCAUUCCCGGGAAGGCCUGGGAAGGGAGGGAAUCGCUCACCCGCCAGCCCGCCUGCAGGGAAAGGGCUCCUGGAGCUGUCGAUGCCUGCCCGACGCUGAGAUAACUCUUGGGUCCCAGUUAUCCACCAGCCACUUCUGCCUCGAUUCACCAAAGGGCAGGGAAAGAACCUUUUGGUGAGAUGGUGUGAAUUAGCGACAUCCAGCCUGAGCUGAAGUCUCCAGCGGGUCAAAGAAAUCUUUCCAUUUGCAAACUACCAAGGCUGACUUGCUGUGCAUUUGGCGGGCCUCCUGCCCCUGAUUCUGCUGGUUUGGAGAUGCUUUCUCGCUCUUUGGUUGGCUUCUGUCUCCACACAUUGUGGGGAUCCCAGGGAUUCGUCAUAGGACUCUCGGAUCGCUGGUGCCUCCACUGUGAUCUCCGGUCUCCCUGCGGCCAGCACUGACUUCUAGCAACAGAAUCCUGCAUGAGGGCCUAGGCACAGAACUUUAUUUCCACUCUUCUGAACACAUCUAAUGUGAUGCUCUGCAAUUGUCUGAAAUUUAUCCUACCCUAAGUCAUUAUCUUGUCCCCUUCUCUGGAACCUGCUUCACUUCCCGUAUCCCAAGCAUGAAUGCAGUAUGCUGCUACCACAAAUUACGCAGUUGAGUUUCCCACAUUUGGAGAAAUCACAGGGAUCAGCAAGUCUUCAGUGGAAUAGAGAAGCCUUGCCCUAGGGAAAACUACCCUUGUGGUCAUGGUAUCUACCCUGCCUGGUGAAGAAGGUCCUUGCUUCCCCUUCUCCUUCCGCCAUGAUUGUAAGUUUCCUGAGGCCUCCCCAGCCAUGUAGAACUGAUUUUUAUAAAUCUUGACCUUCAUAUUAUUGUACCAUUCAUGAUUUUGUGGUUUUAAAGGUGGCUUUUCUUUUCCUAAUUAUUUAUUGAAAAUCUUUAAUUCCUCCUGUGAAUUCUGCCAGCUCACUUUUCAUUUUUCCAUGGUCAUGUAUUUUAUUUUAUAUUUUUCAUUCUUUUUUAAAGUUAAAAUUAUUUUUAAAGGAUUUCUGUUCCUGGCUCUGAUGGAGCAACACGGACAGAUUUACCCUCUUACUUAAACAAAAUACAGACAAAAUUUAUAAAGGAUGGUUCUGAAACAUGGGACAACAGGCAGUAUAAACAGUAAUUUUUCAAAGAAGAUAAAAAAAGGAAGUAAACCCUAUGGUUUCUCUACUGAUUCCCUAGAAAGAGAUUUCAAGCUAUCAGUCUCACUCAAUUGAGAAGACAGAGUUCAUUGAGAAUUUGGGGAAAGUCAAAGUGGACAGAAUUCACAAAGAACUAAAAAAAAGAGUAUUGUGCAGAGAAAGAGCUCCAGCUACCUCCACAGAGUUUCCCUUGAGUUUUCAGAUCAUGCGUUUGGUGAACCCACCUGAGGCAAGGGAAAGAACUACCAGAAAGAAGCAGGUGGAAAAAUUCCUGAUGUUCACAUAGACCGGGAAAUUUCUCAAGUUUUUGUCAUCUGAAUUGAAGAAAUCUUAUACUGUAUGAGGUGUUGAAGAGAAUACUCAGAAGGACAAUGCCUCCGUAGUAGGACCAAACUAGCCUAGAGUAAAGGCUGGUCUGUCUUGUAUGACUCCUUGUGAAACUAUUCUGCUGAGUAUGUCACCAAUUUUCUUAGCGAAUCUAAGUGAUUCCAAGUAAUAAGUUGAAAUUUUCACUAUUUGUAUGUUUUUAUUGAUUAUUCAUUGUGGUUCUAAUAGUUUUUGGUUUAUAAUAUUUUGUUGGUCUGUUAUUUGCUGCAUAGUGGUUUAUGAUAGUUAUAUCUUUAUUGGAUCUUUAACAAUGUAGAAUAAGUUCUUUGUUUCAUUUCAUGUUAUUUGUUUCUAAAUUUUACUUCUUAUUUAACAGUAAUGUUGCAAAUCUUUAAAAAUGUUUUACUUUAUUUGUAAGGAAAACACCUAAAGCAAAGUGAAACAAUAAGUGAUGUAGGAUCUAUUAUUAUUAUUUUCCAUCAUGUGAAUCUUUGUCUUAACAGAGAGGCUUCGUCUAUUUAUAUUUGUUGUUACAAUUGAUUUCUUUCAUCAUUCUGUUAUUUCAGUGUUUCUCUUGAAAAAUAGGUUCUUGUUAUUCAAUGAUUUAGUUUUCACUUUAUGUAUCGUUUUCUUUAUUUUGUCCUUCAUAUUUUGCAAGCUAUAUAGCCUCUGUUAAAUUCCAUUAAUGGAUAUCUUUAAGCACUCUUUGACAUGUAAUUUUCUAAUGUCUCAGUAAAUAAAGAAUUUGUCAACAUAAAAUGUGUGUGUAGGCCAGGUGCGGUGGCUCAUGCCUGUAAUCCCAGAACUUUGGGAGGCCAAGGUGGGUGGAUCACCUGAGGUCAGGAUUUUGAAACCAGCCUGACCAACAUGGCGAAACCCCGUCUCUACUAAAAGAAUACAACACUUAGCCGGACGUGGGGG
rnacentral:lncRNA from 1 species